rnacentral:tRNA from 1 species
GGAGAGGUGGGUGAGUGGCUGAAACCAACGGUUUGCUAAACCGUCAUACUGGGAUAACUGGUAUCGAGGGUUCGAAUCCCUCCCUCUCCG